rnacentral:rRNA from 1 species
GACAGAGGGUGCAAACGUUGCUCGGAAUCACUGGGCGUAAAGCGCACGUAGGCGGAUUGCUAAGUCAGGGGUGAAAUCCUGGAGCUCAACUCCAGAACUGCCUUUGAUACUGGCGACCUUGAGUCCGGGAGAGGUGAGUGGAACUGCGAGUGUAGAGGUGAAAUUCGUAGAUAUUCGCAAGAACACCAGUGGCGAAGGCGGCUCACUGGCCCGGUACUGACGCUGAGGUGCGAAAGCGUGGGGAGCAAACAGG